rnacentral:rRNA from 1 species
AUUGAACGCUGGCGGCAGGCCUAACACAUGCAAGUCGAACGGUAACAGGAAGAAGCUUGCUUCUUUGCUGACGAGUGGCGGACGGGUGAGUAAUGUCUGGGAAACUGCCUGAUGGAGGGGGAUAACUACUGGAAACGGUAGCUAAUACCGCAUAACGUCGCAAGACCAAAGAGGGGGACCUUCGGGCCUCUUGCCAUCGGAUGUGCCCAGAUGGGAUUCGCUAGUAGGUGGGGUAACGGCUCACCUAGGCGGCGAUCCCUACCUGGUCUGAGGGGAUGACCGCCCACACUGGAACUGAGCCACGGACCAGACUCCUACGGGAGGCACCAGUGGGGAAUAUUGCACAAUGGGCGCAAGCCUGAUGCAGCCAUGCCGCGUGUAUGAAGAAGGCCUUCGGGUUGUAAAGUACUUUCAGCGGGGAGGAAGGGAGUAAAGUUAAUACCUUUGCUCAUUGACGUUACCCGCAGAAGAAGCACCGGCUAACUCCGUG